GGUCAACAUACAGAGCAGGGCAGAGCAGGGUAAUCCUAUCUGAUCCUUCACUUACAGCAUUUUUUCCCAUUAUCUUGAGACUCAUCUUUCAGAGAUCCUCUGAGCAUCCCAGCAAUAUCUGUACAACAAACUGAGUCUGCUUGUACAGGGAAUAAAAAAGUGAGGAGGCCUGGGGAAUGUCCACACUAAAACAACAGCUCUUCUUCAGAAAUGAUCCAGAGCGAGCAUGUGCAGGCACUGCAGGGCUGAACGAGAUGGAUUUGGGUCUGGAUCUCCAAAGCAAUGACAGGAUGUUGGCUGAGGGCCCCAAGAAUCUGCCAACGUACAAAGACUAGAUCAAGCAUGGUGCUGAGAUAUAGAGACUCUAGAGGGAUCUCCACUGUGCUUCUUUUUUGCGUGAGAGAGUAAAGGACACUGGCUCAUUUGAGAUCCCUAGACAUGUUAAAAAAUAGUGGAAGAAAAAAGUACAAGAAAACACACUCACGGAACUGCUGAGGUGACGUAACCAGGAUGAAGCUCUAUACAGGCACGAUGGGCUGGUCUGGGUCACAGUCAUCAGGGAUAGAAAAAGGAUCUUCCUCCAACUAAUGGCAUCUUCUGUGCUCUCAGCCCUGAAGAUCAGGAAGGAAUUUAUUAGAUAUGUGGACAAGCAGCGUGAACAUUCUGCAGUUGGAAAAUCACAUGUACCUGCAACCCUCCAGAGGAGAAAGUGAUUCAAAGGCUCUUCUUCAACUCUGAUGGGAAGUGGAGAACCAGACUUCAGGUGAAAAUUGGAGAGGGCUUUGGUGCCAGCAAGAUGUCCUUUGAGGUAGCUGCAGCUCAAACAACUGUUGAAAUGAGCAGAGCCAGAGUUUGACUGGAAGCCGAU
ensembl:lncRNA